UACGAAGGGGGCGAGCGUUGUUCGGAUUUACUGGGCGUAAAGAGCUCGUAGGCGGUUUGUCGCGUCGAAUGUGAAAUCCCGGGGCUCAACCCCGGGUCUGCAUUCGAUACGGGCAGACUAGAGUUCGGUAGGGGAGUCUGGAAUUCCUGGUGUAGCGGUGAAAUGCGCAGAUAUCAGGAGGAACACCGGUGGCGAAGGCGGGACUCUGGGCCGAUACUGACGCUGAGGAGCGAAAGCGUGGGGAGCGAACAGG
rnacentral:rRNA from 1 species